rnacentral:rRNA from 1 species
GUCGAGCGAACAGAUAAGGAGCUUGCUCCUUUGACGUUAGCGGCGGACGGGUGAGUAACACGUGGAUAACCUACCUAUAAGACUGGGAUAACUUCGGGAAACCGGAGCUAAUACCGGAUAACAUAUUGAACCGCAUGGUUCAAUAGUGAAAGGCGGCUUUGCUGUCACUUAUAGAUGGAUCCGCGCCGUAUUAGCUAGUUGGUAAGGUAACGGCUUACCAAGGCAACGAUACGUAGCCGACCUGAGAGGGUGAUCGGCCACACUGGAACUGAGACACGGUCCAGACUCCUACGGGAGGCAGCAGUAGGGAAUCUUCCGCAAUGGGCGAAAGCCUGACGGAGCAACGCCGCGUGAGUGAUGAAGGUCUUCGGAUCGUAAAACUCUGUUAUCAGGGAAGAACAAAUGUGUAAGUAACUGUGCACAUCUUGACGGUACCUGAUCAGAAAGCCACGGCUAACUACGUGCCAGCAGCCGCGGUAAUACGUAGGUGGCAAGCGUUAUCCGGAAUUAUUGGGCGUAAAGCGCGCGUAGGCGGUUUUUUAAGUCUGAUGUGAAAGCCCACGGCUCAACCGUGGAGGGUCAUUGGAAACUGGAAAACUUGAGUGCAGAAGAGGAAAGUGGAAUUCCAUGUGUAGCGGUGAAAUGCGCAGAGAUAUGGAGGAACACCAGUGGCGAAGGCGACUUUCUGGUCUGUAACUGACGCUGAUGUGCGAAAGCGUGGGGAUCAAACAGGAUUAGAUACCCUGGUAGUCCACGCCGUAAACGAUGAGUGCUA